rnacentral:lncRNA from 1 species
AGCACCUACUAAAAUCCUUAAUCAUGAAGAUUUUGAUUCUCUAUCCGACGAGUGUAGGGAUCCGAGAAAAAUUAUGAAAACCCAAAUUUAUUUUAAAAAUAAAAUUUUUAAAAUAAAUUGGUUAAGUCAAUUACAAAAUCUAACUAAAAAUUUUGAUUUUCUAUAAAAAAUCAUAUCUGCUUACAAGCCCCUAGCCCAGAUCCUAAAGACCAAUAGGUU